rnacentral:tRNA from 5 species
GGCGCGAUAGCAAAUCGGUUAUGCCCCGGAUUGCAAAUCCGGUUAGACCAGUUCGACUCUGGUUCGCGCCUCCA